rnacentral:snRNA from 1 species
AUAGUUAGUUGGCAGGGGACAUCCCAUGAAUAUGAAGGUUGUUUUCCUGAAAUGAGACAAAUCCAAUGCAUGGAAUGCCCUGAACCCUGCGAUUUCCUCAAAUGUGUGAAAUGUGACUGCAUAAUUAGUGAUAUUGGGGACAGAAUCUCUG